AAUACAUCUAAUACGAGACUUGUAAAUUAUCGACUGACCUUUUAGCCAAUUAUAGAGCUCAUUAUCUCCACCGUUUCGUACAGCUUCUAGAUUGCUCCUUGAGAAACUACUUCGAAAACUUUGAAAACCUACUUCUGACAGCGAUUACGAGCAGAAUGGCAGAAAUUGGAAACCUGUAAUUUCUCUCUUGUAAGAAAGCAACAAAUUUGACGAGUUUUGCAAAAUCGAAGGAACGAAGCCACUACGAUCGAGUCAUUCAAAGUCGAAAUUGAACGAGGAAAUUGAUCGUUUGAUUGCAUCAUCGUACCGAUUCGCAUACACCGUAAAUUCCCUGCUAAUAUUUCUAACUCAGAGUCGAGUGCAACUUGAAAAAAAACGAUCGUUCUCUGCUACGCGUUCGUGAAUUCAGACGUGUAACAGACACGUGUUCUAUUCGCAUACCAGCGACACAACAAGACUAUUUCCAGCUUGCUAUAAUUUGUUCUUACACAAUGUUUUAUUUUAACGUACACUUUUUUUUUAACAAUCAGUGUUGUCUAAAAAUACAAAAGCACAAAAGAUAUUCCUUAAUAACAGACAGUUUAUUGAUAUUUUCUACUUCGUCGGUCUUCUUAAGUUGAAACAAAAAAUGUUUUUUGUGUUUCUUCAUGAAAAUCGCCUAAAGACGGCAAACAUAUUUCAUCCACAGGCGUCUGUCCUGAUGGUCAUUUCUCAUGACUUAUCGUAAAUGUAUUUGCAUUAACAGAUUAAUAGUUUGAUAAAUUUCUCGGGUGUUCUUCGUCUGAUCGUUUUGAAUAUCUGUUGUAAUGAUGAACGAGGAGAUAUUUUCAAAAAUAUUAUAUCGAUAACUUUUUCUGUUGUUACUUGUUAAGAAUUUUUAAGUACAAAACCUGUAAUCUUACAUGCUCAUUAUAUCUAGCAGGAUUCUCAUCAAAAUCAUUUAAAAGUUCUUUACGUUCUUUUAAUAUUUUCAUCCUAUCGAUUAAAAUAUUUUCUCUAGUUCGUUCAGCUAACUCUGACCCCUCGUGUAUGGCUACAGCUUCAAUAAAUUGACUAUUUAACUUUUCUUUCUUUCUUUCUUUUUCAAUCUUUCACACUUUCUUUUGCAAUCAUUGAUUUUUUGCCACAACUUCUUGGUGCACAAGUGGACAAGAAACCUGAAUUUCAUGAUCUAUUAAAGCAAGUUCCAAUUCUUGCACUGGCUCAGUUAAUCGAUUUACUUAUGAAACUCGUCGGUCUUGAUUUAUUACACGUUUAUUCCUUAUUUUACAUACUCUGUCUGCGCAUCUCAACGCAAUAAAAGUUUCAUUCGUAUUGUAAUCUGAAAGUACUUCAAACGAAACAUGAAUUAUCUUCAACAUUAAUAUUGAAUACAAAUGUAGGAUGGGAAAUCCUUCCAUACUCAAAUACCAAGAUCGUGGAAUACAAAUAGCCGCGACGUCGACGUAGUGAAUAACAUAGUCGGCUACGAACGCCAAGAGUCCGGGUGGGUUCGAUUGCCUGGCACACCAUAGUCUGUAUCGUAUUUUCCACGAUAAAUACUACGUACAUGCCAUUAUUAUACGAUACUAAUCUAAUGCAAAAUCACGAAAGUGAUUGAGUUAAGAUAUAGGAACAGUCCUGACAAAUUAGUAAAAAAAUGCAAGUAACCACGGAGGCAACUUAUUGAAGAGAUAAUUAACAUAAUUCAUUUACGUUAGUAGCAAGAACAGCAAAGUUUGCUGUAGUUAGAUUUGUAAUAUAUUUCUGAACGUAGUAAAAGAGAAAGAAAUAAUAAAGAUCGAGCUAAAUCUACUUAGAAUAUAUUGCUUACAGAACAUUCCUUUUACGUUGAUGUAUACAUAGAGCGAAUAUCGCAUGACUUUGUUAUACUGUUCAUUCAUUUCGGUAGCACCUGCUGCACAAAGAUCUUUGUGUUUACUGUUUCCAUCGCAUUUGUAACUUCCAUUUUAUAAAUCCAGCAAUCUUCAUGUUUUUACCAUUAUUUCUGAUAUUGACAAUAAAUUGAUUUCUUUGUUUAUCAGUUAAUAAAUUGUACUGUUCUAAAAUGUUAUAAAUUACUCUCUCUCUCUCUCUCUCUUUUUCUUUUUCUACAUCUACGACUAAUAACAUUAAGAAGUUGUAACGUUAAAUAUUACAUAAACCUGGGUGAAAGAUGAAGGCGAUUUGAAAUCUAUGAAAGUUGAUAGUAAAAGUAGCUUAUCUCUCUACUAUUUGUAUAUGAUUGGAGUAUAUUAUUGGUAUAUUAUACUACUAUUCGCUAUAUCGUAUUAAUGCUAUUACUAUAUAAUAUCGCUCUAUUGAAGACAACAGAAACUUUUGAGUCACAGUUACAGUGUCUACAAGAGUGACUAUUUUCUACAGGUCUUCAUUUUCUCACAUCUUGAAUAUAAUUCUAAAAACACAAAUGCAAACAAUUUUAAUUGCAUCUUCUUUCAGUAUUCAUAGUCAAGUUGUCAGGAAAGUAUUGACACAAUAUUGUAUUUCUUAUUGCAUUUACAUAUCAACUAAUUACGUCCAAGUAUAUUAAAUUUCUUACCAUUUGGCAGUGCUUUCGUAAGACCAGAAAAAUUUGACGCUACGAACAUGACGUGUAAAAUCUAAUGAAAAAAUGCAUCAUUGAAAAAUAAGAGAAUAUGACAAUGGUUCUUGUCAUCGCUAUAAUUAUUAAAUUUUAUCAAUUACGCUUAAUCAAAACUACCUGUAACGCGAUUAAUAAAUUCAUGGUAAUAACUAUCGAUAACGCGUUGAUCUUCUUCCAGCGAAUUUAAGAAGAAAGGUGGAGGUUCUUUCGGUAAACGUUUUCACGUGGUCGCUAAGUAUUCCUGAGGCAAGUUUAGGUCAUAUACCCUUCGAGGCACGCAUUGUUUCAGGGCCGGGUUUCCGCGAAACCGCGUGGGCGGGCUAACUGCAUUUCUCGUGCGUGACACACGCGAAACACACGAAUGUUUAGUGCAUAGAGAGUCUGGUACUUACUUACUCUCGUGCUUACCAGCCUUCUUCUGUAUGCAGUUCAGGGUAGCUUCGAUCAAAGAAAUGAAAAAGAAACGGAGGAAGACGCUGUGGGUUUCCUCGCCCACGUCUCGUCGUUGCGUUCUGUGAUUUUUUCCCUUCGAGAGGUAAAUAUCUCUUGGAAGUCAUUGUUUCUAGGUGUGACUCGAAUUCCACGGAUUCUCUCUUUCUCCGGCCAUUCCUUUCUUCCUACCUUCUUACCGCUCUCGCUAUUUGUGUUACUCGUACAACCAGAGUCCUAUUUAGAAAUG